GAUGAACGCUGGCGGCGUGCCUAACACAUGCAAGUCGAGCGAACCCUUCGGGGUGAGCGGCGGACGGGUGAGUAACGCGUGGGUAACCUGCCCUGUACACACGGAUAACAUACCGAAAGGUAUGCUAAUACGGGAUAAUAUAUGAGAGUCGCAUGGCUUUUGUAUCAAAGCUCCGGCGGUACAGGAUGGACCCGCGUCUGAUUAGCUAGUUGGUAAGGUAACGGCUUACCAAGGCAACGAUCAGUAGCCGACCUGAGAGGGUGAUCGGCCACAUUGGAACUGAGACACGGUCCAAACUCCUACGGGAGGCAGCAGUGGGGAAUAUUGCACAAUGGGCGAAAGCCUGAUGCAGCAACGCCGCGUGAGCGAUGAAGGCCUUCGGGUCGUAAAGCUCUGUCCUCAAGGAAGAUAAUGACGGUACUUGAGGAGGAAGCCCCGGCUAACUACGUGCCAGCAGCCGCGGUAAUACGUAGGGGGCUAGCGUUAUCCGGAAUUACUGGGCGUAAAGGGUGCGUAGGCGGUCUUUCAAGCCAGAAGUGAAAGGCUACGGCUCAACCGUAGUAAGCUUUUGGAACUGUAGGACUUGAGUGCAGGAGAGGAGAGUGGAAUUCCUAGUGUAGCGGUGAAAUGCGUAGAUAUUAGGAGGAACACCAGUAGCGAAGGCGGCUCUCUGGACUGUAACUGACGCUGAGGCACGAAAGCGUGGGGAGCAAACAGGAUUAGAUACCCUGGUAGUCCACGCCGUAAACGAUGAGUACUAGGUGUCGGGGGUUACCCCCCUCGGUGCCGCAGCUAACGCAUUAAGUACUCCGCCUGGGAAGUACGCUCGCAAGAGUGAAACUCAAAGGAAUUGACGGGGACCCGCCACAAGUAGCGGAGCAUGUGGUUUAAUUCGAAGCAACGCGAAGAACCUUACCUAAGCUUGACAUCCCACUGACCUCUCCCUAAUCGGAGAUUUCCCUUCGGGGACAGUGGUGACAGGUGGUGCAUGGUUGUCGUCAGCUCGUGUCGUGAGAUGUUGGGUUAAGUCCCGCAACGAGCGCAACCCUUGCCUUUAGUUGCCAGCAUUAAGUUGGGCACUCUAGAGGGACUGCCGAGGAUAACUCGGAGGAAGGUGGGGAUGACGUCAAAUCAUCAUGCCCCUUAUGCUUAGGGCUACACACGUGCUACAAUGGGUGGUACAGAGGGUUGCCAAGCCGUGAGGUGGAGCUAAUCCCUUAAAGCCAUUCUCAGUUCGGAUUGUAGGCUGAAACUCGCCUACAUGAAGCUGGAGUUACUAGUAAUCGCAGAUCAGAAUGCUGCGGUGAAUGCGUUCCCGGGUCU
rnacentral:rRNA from 1 species